rnacentral:rRNA from 1 species
CAAGUCGAGGGGCAGCACGUCUUCGGAUGGUGGCGACCGGCGCACGGGUGCGUAACGCGUAUGCAACCUACCUUACACUGGGGUAUAGCCCGGAGAAAUUCGGAUUAAUCCCCCAUAGCACUUAGAGAUGGCAUCAUUUUUAAGUUAAAGUAUUGCGGUGUAAGAUGGGCAUGCGUCCUAUUAGCUAGAUGGUAAGGUAACGGCUUACCAUGGCUACGAUAGGUAGGGGGCCUGAGAGGGUGGUCCCCCACACUGGUACUGAGACACGGACCAGACUCCUACGGGAGGCAGCAGUGAGGAAUAUUGGUCAAUGGGCGCAAGCCUGAACCAGCCAUGCCGCGUGCAGGAAGAAUGCCCUAUGGGUUGUAAACUGCUUUUAUUUAGGAAUAAACCUUUCUACGUGUAGAAAGCUGAAGGUACUGAAUGAAUAAGCACCGGCUAACUCCGUGCCAGCAGCCGCGGUAAUACGGAGGGUGCAAGCGUUAUCCGGAAUCAUUGGGUUUAAAGGGUCCGCAGGCGGAUGUAUAAGUCAGUGGUGAAAGCCUAUCGCUUAACGAUAGAACUGCCAUUGAUACUGUACGUCUUGAAUUCGGUCGAAGUGGGCGGAAUGUGUAGUGUAGCGGUGAAAUGCAUAGAUAUUACACAGAACACCGAUAGCGAAGGCAGCUCACUAGGCCUGGAUUGACGCUCAGGGACGAAAGCGUGGGGAUCAAACAGGAUUAGAUACCCUGGUAGUCCACGCUGUAAACGAUGAUUACUCGUUUUCGGCGAUACACAGUCGGAGACUAAGCGAAAGUGAUAAGUAAUCCACCUGGGGAGUACGAUCGCAAGGUUGAAACUCAAAGGAAUUGACGGGGGGCCCGCACAAGCGGUGGAGCAUGUGGUUUAAUUCGAUGAUACGCGAGGAACCUUUACCAGGGCUUAAAUACAAGUUGCAUGAUGUGGAAAACACGUCAGUCUUCGGACUAUUUGCAAGGGUGCUGCAUGGCUGUUCGUCAGCUUCGUUGCCG